UUUCCUAUGGUGCAAUGGUAGCACGCCUGAUUUUGGUUCAGAAGAUCGUGGUUCGAAUCCACGUAGGAAAA
rnacentral:tRNA from 1 species